rnacentral:tRNA from 1 species
ACAGAUAUGUUGGAAUAGGCAGACAAACUCCGUUCAGGCCGGAGUGAAAUUAUUUUCGUGGAGGUUCGAGUCCUUUUAUCUGUA